UACGGAGGGUGCAAGCGUUGUCCGGAAUCACUGGGCGUAAAGGGCGCGUAGGCGGCCUGGUAAGUAGGGGGUGAAAUCCUGCGGCUUAACCGCAGGGCUGCCUUCUAAACUGUCAGGCUUGAGCACGGUAGAGGCAGAUGGAAUUCCCGGUGUAGCGGUGGAAUGCGUAGAGAUCGGGAAGAACAUCAGUGGCGAAGGCGGUCUGCUGGGCCGUUGCUGACGCUGAGGCGCGACAGCGUGGGGAGCAAAAGGG
rnacentral:rRNA from 1 species